rnacentral:rRNA from 1 species
UACGUAGGGGGCAAGCGUUGUCCGGAAUCAUUGGGCGUAAAGCGCGUGUAGGCGGCCCGAUAAGUCCGCUGUGAAAGUCCAGGGCUCAACCCUGGAAUGCCGGUGGAUACUGUCGGGCUCGAGUCCGGAAGAGGCGAGUGGAAUUCCUGGUGUAGCGGUGAAAUGCGCAGAUAUCAGGAGGAACACCGAUGGCGAAGGCAGCUCGCUGGGACGUGACUGACGCUGAGACGCGAAAGCGUGGGGAGCAAACAGG